rnacentral:rRNA from 1 species
ACGUAGAAUGCAAGCGUUGUCCGGAAUUAUUGGGCGUAAAGAGCGCGCAGGCGGUAACUCAAGUCAGAUGUGAAAUAUCCGGGCUUAACCCGGAGGGGUCAUUUGAAACUGAGUAACUAGAGUACAGCAGAGGAUAGCGGAAUUCCCGGUGUAGUGGUGAAAUGCGUAGAUAUCGGGAGGAACACCAGUGGCGAAGGCGGCUAUCUGGGCUGAAACUGACGCUGAGGCGCGAAGGCUAGGGGAGCAAACAGGA